UUCAAGGUCGUCUGGUGGCCGCCGAGCAA
rnacentral:sRNA from 1 species